rnacentral:rRNA from 1 species
UACGUAGGGGCAAGCGUUAUCCGGAUUUACUGGGUGUAAAGGGAGCGCAGACGGCAGUGCAAGUCUGAUGUGAAAGCCCGGGGCUCAACCCCGGAACUGCAUUGGAAACUGUACAGCUUGAGUGUCGGAGAGGUAAGCGGAAUUCCUAGUGUAGCGGUGAAAUGCGUAGAUAUUAGGAGGAACACCGGUGGCGAAGGCGGCUUACUGGACGAUGACUGACGUUGAGGCUCGAAAGCGUGGGGAGCAAACAGGAUUAGAUACCCCGGUAGUCCCUGA